GGGAACCGCGAGGCACGCUGCUGUGAGGCAGAAGACGGCUCUCUGGCAGGAGAAGGGCUCUCCAAAGUGACGACGGAGGCUUUAGCCUCCGAUAAGCUCUGGGCCUCGUUCCAGAAAAAAACCCCUUGCAGCCACAAAACUACCAUAUGUUUUAUUGGGAUUGUAUGGGAGGUGUGUUGGAGCACGUGUGAACAUCAGCUUCCAGGUUUGGUCAUUCGUCGUCAACUGGAUUUAAUUGUGGAUUUAAAUGCCGCUGUAGUAUAUAAAUGCAGUUUGAUCUUAAUCAUUCGAUUGUUGCUCUGGUUGCAGGUUCUGGGAUGCUGUUUGGGUUAAAGUGAACCUCCACGUCAAGUUCAAGUCCUCUGCAGUCUUCCGACAGGUUUUCUUCCAGGACCGUCCCAUAUUUUGAUCCUUCCGUCAACUUUUGAGACGUUUCCGUUUCGCUGCUGAAGAAAGGUUUUCCACCACACAGCAUUUUGCAUGUACGUCAGAAAACAAUAAGAGAAGAGAAAGGAAAAUCACAUCCAGCUUUUUUUUUUUUUUUUAAGUACAAAUGAAUGCCACACUUUUCAGAUUAAGCAACAAGCAAUACUUUCCAUCCUUUUUGCUUUCUCUUAUAACCAAGCUGUACUUUCGGUUGCUCGCAUCUAACAAUCCUAAUAAAUUACGCCGAGGCUGGUAGUUUCAGCGUGAUUAAAACUGCUGCUGCAGCCAAAACCGAUCCCUCUCUGAAACGCACAGUCUCCUCCCCAAAUGUGAAAAAUAGAUGUGGGUGUCAAGAAAACCCAUCAUAAGUUGGGCUUCAGCUGUAAAUAGUCCUGAGCCAGAGGGGUGUUCCCUUCGCUACCAGGGGUUCGCAUUUCCCAGGAGAUUUUUUUUUAGGCGGCUAAAAGAGGACGGAAGAUGGUGUCCGUUUCCAAGUUGCAUCAGUCCGUGGCGUUCGCACCAAAGGUUUAGGAGAGAAACUCGAAUUUGAAUUCGUCUACCGGUUAAGAGAACAUGACAAUAACUUUCAACGUCUACCAGCAACACAAAAAGAUCCCAAAGUGUAUUUCACCUGGAGCUCAUUCCCAUUCACUUGAAGGAGAGAUCACACAAGAUGCAAUCCCACAUUUCUGUGUGACCCCUGUGCUUUAGAAAACCAUUCAUACCAGUCAUACAGUACAAACAUAACUUAAACAUGCACGGCCAGCACAAAGUGUCACUAUCUUGAAGUGAAAGGAAAGUGGCAAAUGCCGAUCGGAACCAUUUUUUUCCCCGUAGAAACCCGAAAAAUGCAGGAGGCAGUUGUUUUUAGCAUCAACACUCUCACGCCCCACUCAACUUCCAGUGGAAACAAACCACUUUUGAUUUCGUUACAGCCAAGAUCCACUGGUGGAUUUGAGCAUUUGUCUUCACUUGGCUUGGAGCUUUUUUAAAAUCAUUUCAUUAUUCUGGAUUCGGUUCCUAUCUCUGUGUUCAUUAGUGCUGUUUAGGUCUUGCCAUAUUUGUUCAUUCCUUUGUGUUUAGCUACUCAUUUCUUGUGUUCUGUUUAUUUUAUUUA